rnacentral:rRNA from 1 species
AUUGGAAUGAGAACAAUUUAAACCCCUUAACGAGUAACCAUCAGAGGGCAAGUCUGGUGCCAGCAGCCGCGGUAAUUCCAGCUCUGAUAGCGUAUAUUAAAGUUGUUGCAGUUAAAAAGCUCGUAGUUGGAUUUUAGAGUAUAUUGAUAUGGUCUCUUGUGAUAAACUUGUUGUACUGUAUUAAUUACUCUUUCCUACUGGUUACUCGACUCUGUUCUUUAUUGCAUGGAGUAGUGUCGCAAGGCAUCGCUUAGUAUUUUAUUGCUUUUUAGAUGUAGUAAUUGGGUAAAACUGGUUACGAAACCUAAGGGAUCACAGUAAGGUAUUAAGUGGGGUUCCAGUUCAUUUACUUUGUAGUAAAUUAGAGUGUUCAAAGCAGCCUGUAUGGGCAUUGAAUAGAUUAGCAUGGGAUAAUAGAAUAGGAUUCUUAUCUAUUUAUUGGUUUAUAGACUUAGAAUAAUGAUUAAUAGGAUAGUU